rnacentral:rRNA from 1 species
UACGUAGGGUCCGAGCGUUAAUCGGAAUUACUGGGCGUAAAGCGUGCGCAGGCGGUUUUGUAAGCCAGAUGUGAAAGCCCCGGGCUCAACCUGGGAACUGCAUUUGGGACUGCAAAGCUGGAGUACGGCAGAGGGAGGUGGAAUUCCACGUGUAGCAGUGAAAUGCGUAGAGAUGUGGAGGAACACCGAUGGCGAAGGCAGCCUCCUGGGCUAGUACUGACGCUCAUGCACGAAAGCGUGGGGAGCAAACAGG